rnacentral:rRNA from 1 species
GCUCGACGUACCUCCGGCCAUAGACCCAGCCAGCAAGACCGCAGCGCUACGCACCGGACACGCGAAAAGAGAUAAAUGGCAAAAACAGACCAUAUUUAUGUCGCCACGACGGAAGAGGGCAAGGGCGAAACAUGUACCCGGAUACUAACAACAUAUGACGACGGAAGAGGACACGUGCGUGUUCUACAAAACAGGCACGCCAAGCUUAACCCGGGUGGAGUGCCCGGCCACUCCGACCAACCACUCCUUUUAUUUACACACCAACGAGCCGGGCGAGCCGCUGCCACAGCUGGUAAUUCGCCACGGACAAGCACGAACCGGUGAGCUGGGCUUCCACCUGCCGUGGCCCGUUUCCCCCGACGCGGCGAAGAGCGGUACCUGCCGUACCUCAAGAAGAAGCUACUUAGACGUAGCCCCAAGCACGGCGCCAACCUGCCGCCUCAAAAGAAUUCCCCAGAUCAACGGCCGCUCGUUGAAUGACUUCCGUCGUGUUCACCUUGUCUCCUACGCCUCCUCCUAAACUAAAGAAGAGAAGGGUACCCCGCUUGACCUCCGCCGUACCUAACACUUCCCCCGCUUCCACGACCAUGUCCCCCGAUGCGUAGCAUACUAGAACCGCCGCUUCCGUUCCCGCUAAGGACGCUCUGUCCGCCACGUUUAUAUCAGGGUUUACUGUACCUGAUCCUACGUCUACUUCUACCUCACCCUCACAGUUUACGUUUGGUCAGAAGAACCUGGUUCUCCCAGUCUCAACCUUUUCGCCGUCUACUCUCCCUCGGGUCGGGAAGUUCCUACGGACGGGAACUUCGAAGAUAGGCACGUAAACAAUUGUUUUUCAGAUUAUUACAACAGUUAGGUAGCUAACCCUGAUCAAAACUAAGGCAGCUUCACCCAUACUCAAAAUGUUAGAAAUAAGCACCCUCCAACCAAAACCCAACGCGAUGCGUUUUUCUGCAAACUUACAUGUGGCCUUCUUCACGUACGUCCUCUAUCAAACGCGAACACGCCCGUUGGGUAACGUUCGGUUGUCAUCCAGUUGCGCCACACCAACGUUACGGUACUAUGUUGAUGAUUCCAGCCUGCUACCUCCUACCAUACAUACGCUCGUGUCACGACUAGUGUUGGUACUAAAUAGACAAUUAACACCUCUCUUUGACGUGACUUUCAGUGUGGCUGUGUAUCUAUCGAUAUGUUCCCUGGAUCAAUUCGUUGAUUCUCUUUAAUUGUAGUCGUAAUCGUUCGAAAUGUCACAGCACCCCUCAAAGAAACCGUACUAUUUCCUGCACGGUAAGUGCUUUGAAAGGAAUUUUUGUAACACACCAUUUGAAUUGGUCCUUGUCAGAGACUUACUACGUUGUUUUUGGUAUAUCUACAUAAGUUGCUCUACUCCCGUCUCCUGGGACUUAAAUUUAUGUCACAAGUCCAACUUUGGCUCCCCUCCUAAUUCUGUAACUACACCCGGCGACCGUCUCUCUAACUCGUUAAGUUCACAAAGCCACUACAACAUUGUAAACUAUGUUGGAUGUCCUAUUUGGACAUGCUGUAUGGUAAACCGGAAAACAACCACAAUUAUUAGUGAAAGUCUCGUAGUAUAUGCCUCCGCACAACUACUCGCUACUCUUCCACCUGUGAAAGUUCACCUAUAAGUGCCUCAAGAAGGUUUACGAUCGUCGUGGUGUCGGUUUUUGAUAGAAUUGUCUAGUUAGAGCGCGUUACCUUUAACGUUAUCGCCUGCAGUACGGUGCCUGACGCGUGGCCACCACGUUUACCGUGCACGACUUCUUCCUUUUUCUCUCGGAACCUCGCGACGAACGUCUUCCCUCACUUAAGUUCGGUCUCAAGUCGUUCGAUCCGGUGGUACAUCAAUCAUAACUACUUAAACUCUUCCCGACCCGUACGAACUAACUCUUUAUACCGGAGGUCUGGUUAUGUAAGGAUUGCGUCGAAAUGCUUCAAUCCCCCUUCACCCGUUUCGGUAUGAAGUACCCACACAAAACACGUUUUUACUGUUCAUGCGUCGCUUCACUCUCGCGUUUGGUGGAAGAGUUUCCCAUACACGGUGGUCCGACGGGGUACGUGAACAAGUAGGCCGUUAUACUCUUCUACGUUAAACUGGUGCUGAGUCUCCUUUCAAUGGUCCUCUUCUCCUGUUUUGAUCCACUCUAACACGACUUCGUUGUAUAGGGUAAACUCCAUGUACGUAGCGGUCCAAAUGUGGUCCUGUUACAAACUCUUUAAACCACUUCGUAACAUGCUCACACCCAGUAUACUAGAUUAUCUUCAGCUUGGGGCUAACCUCAUGUAACGAUCCGUGUAUUUUAAGGUCAGUCCCCUUUUCACCACGUUCUUACUCAAACAGUAGAGUCACUCACUCGGUCGGCUACUCAAGUAAUCGCUCACACCUUGCAAACUCGUGAUACCCUACCAAACGUCGGUACACGAAUUCCAGUACUAUGUGGAUUUUGACAUACUCGAGGGCGGUUUUGUACACGAGUUCGCCACCUGAUCUCUACGUUCUCUAUAUGACGGUGGCCUCAUAAACGCGAUGGUCUUCCUGGUACCCGGGGACUUCAUAAGAAGAGCAGCCGUGUUGUGGAAUAUGAACAACCGUGACCUACACCAAUUUAAUCCAUUGUUGUUACACCUUCGUGUACGUGAACGUUACCUCUUUUACGCUCUACAGUUUCACGACGAGCUCGGUCAACGGCGGCACGCCCUAUCCGAACCAAACAGACUAUCUCUCAACCGACGUCUAAGUCCGCCGAGACCACAACCCUUGUUCGUCGUAAAACCCUCUCGACUCAGACUCGUGUGGUAGAGUGUUCCUAACCUAAACAAAGGUCGUAGCACGUUCUUUGCUGGGCGACCCGCAGGUUGUUGCUCGGCGCUGUUCCGAGGUAUACUUGUUGGUAGUUUCUCCUCGUCUAAUACAAGAUAUACGUCUUAAGUCCCCGUGUUCUCGUGUUGUACGGGACGGUCUCCCCUACACGGUUUCCGUGGAUCCUUUAGCGGAGCGACGAGUUUUACAGCCAACUGUACAGUGUCCUUCUUGUCUACGUCGUUGGGCGGAUUCCAGACUUUUUUCUAUACUUUAAAUCACAAACAAAAGCUCUAAGCAACCAAACAGACACACCGUGAAACAAUAAUCUUGGGCAUACAAUAAAGACAUUUGGUGGUUCUCUACCAUUCACUCGUAAGGGCACCGUAGACCGUCCCUGUAAACACUUAAACGUAGCCCGAAAUACAACCGAACAAACGACAACACUACCACUUCUUUUUUAUAAAGUCAACCGUGAAAUACGAACCGUAUUCUUUUUACCUACAACGGGAGAGCACAUCUUGUACACUUUUUUACUUGUACCCGUACUAGCAGACACUCACUACGACCGUGACGUCCCGGUACUAACCCCUCACCAGCGUGCAGAUCGGUCGGACACUCGCUCGUCACCUGCUGUACCCCACGAUGACAUCUUUUUAUGUCUUAUGUCCUAAUCCCAAUUUCGACGACCGAGCUUAUGUACUGUAUUUACGCGACUACGUCACAGAGCUACCCUAGUGACUGCUGGCUCUAUCGCUCGACGUGUCUCGAGUCGGAGGUUUGCCGUAAAAGCGAAGAAAAACAGAAUUUUUUUGAUGA